CCCGGGCGGGCUCAGGGGGCCCCGGGCGGCCUCGGGGGCCCUCGGGGGGUCCCGGCGUCCGGAGGGAAUCCUGAGGCUCUGCGGCCCCGGGGGCCUGGGAGCGGCGGGGGUCGGGGAGGCCAGGGGCUGCCAAGGGCCUCGGGGCGGGGGGCCCGUAACGGCGAGGAGGGGUCUCGGGGACCGCGGGGGCUCUGGGCCCGCCCCCCGCCCCCCUCCCCCCGGGCCCCUCACCUGCGGGCGCCUCACCUGCGGGCCCGGCUCCCGCCGCCGCCUCCCGCUCAGCGGUGCUCCGCGCUCCGGGGCUCCGGGCGGCCGCGCGCUCCCCGGCUGGGCGGGGCCGGCGGCGGCGAGGGCUGCGCGCGCAGCCCGGGGGGCGGGGCGGGGGCGGGGCCCCGGGGCGGGAGCCACCGCCUCCCGGUGAGGAGCCGCCGCGCCGCCGCCGAGCCGUCCCCGCCCGCCGCCGCCGCCGCGCCGAGGUCCCGCCCGAGCCCAACGGCCCCGCGGACGCACAAGCCCCGCCCCGUGGCCCCGCCCCCGGCUCUCCGGCGCAGACGCGGUGGGGGACGCGCGGAGCGCUCGCGCCUUCGAACCCGCGGGUCUGCGCGUCCUCGCUGCUCGCGUCGGGAAAAUGGGCGCAGGCGCACUCUGCGGGGACCCGGGGAGCGACUCCGUGCGCCCGGAAGCGCCCGACGCUGGGGGGCCUGUGCGUGUGCGCGCGCCCCCCGCGGUCCCGCCUCCCCGCCGCGCCCGGACCCCGGGGCCCCCCUCCGCGCCCCGACCCCGGAACCCCCCUCCGCGCCCGGACCCCGGGGCCCCACCUCCGCGCCAGGACCCCGAAACCCCCCUCCACACCCGGACCCCGGAACCCCUCUCCGCGCCCUGACCCGGGGCCCCACCUCCGCGCCAGGACCCGGGGGCCCCCCUCCACACCCGGACCCUGAAACCCCCCUCUGCACCCUAACCCCCGGGGCCCCCCUCCGCGCCCUGACCUCUGGGGCCCCCCUCCGCGUCCUGACCCCUGGGCCCCGCUCCACACCCGGACCCCGGAACCCCUCUCCGCGCCCUGACCCCGGGGCCCCCCUCCACACCCGGACCCCGAAACCCCCCUCCGCGCCCGGACCCCCGGACCCACCUCCGCGCCAUUACCCCGGGGCCCCCCUCCGCACCCUGACCCCCGGGGCCCCCCUCCGCUCCCUGACCCGGGGCCCCACCUACGCGCCAGUACCCCGGGGCCCCCCUCCACACCCGGACCCCGGAACCCCUCUCCGCGCCCUGACCCGGGGCCCCACCUCCGCGCCAGGACCCGGGGGCCCCCCUCCACACCCGGACCCUGAAACCCCCCUCUGCACCCUAACCCCCGGGGCCCCCCUCCGCGCCCUGACCUCUGGGGCCCCCCUCCGCGUCCUGACCCCUGGGCCCCGCUCCACACCCGGACCCCGGAACCCCUCUCCGCGCCCUGACCCCGGGGCCCCCCUCCACACCCGGACCCCGAAACCCCCCUCCGCGCCCGGACCCCGGGACCCACCUCCGCGCCAUUACCCCGGGGCCCCCCUCCGCACCCUGACCCCCGGGGCCCCCCUCCGCUCCCUGACCCGGGGCCCCACCUACGCGCCAGUACCCCGGGGCCCCCCUCCACACCCGGACCCCGGAACCCACCUCCGCGCCCUGACCCGGGGCCCCACCUCCGCGCCAGGACCCCGAAACCCCCCUCCACACCCGGACCCCGAAACCCCCCUCCGCGCCCUGACCCCCGGGGCCCCACCUCCACACCCGGACCCCGGAACACCUCUCCGCGCCCUGACCCGGGGCCCCACCUCCGCGCCAGGACCCCGGGGCCCCCCUCCGCGCCCUGACCUCCGGAACCCCGCUCCGCGCCCGGGCCCCACCUCCGCGCCCAGACCCCCCCUCCGCGCCAGGACCCCGGAACCCCCCUCCGCACCCUGA
rnacentral:lncRNA from 1 species